rnacentral:rRNA from 1 species
GGAUGCUGCAGUUAAAAGGUCCGUAGUCGUGUCGAGGAAACGGAGGGCGACCUCUGAUAGUUGAUGUGGAGGAGCCAAUGGGGAACACAGUAUACCAGGGCGAGAGAUGAAAUGUCAAGACCCCUGGUGGACUCAGCGAGGCGAAGGCGGUGUUCUUGUGGGCGUCCGGUGAUCAAGGACGAAGGGUGGAGGAUCGAACGUGAUUAGAUACCGCAGUAGUUCCAGCAGUAAAAGAUGCCGACAUGCCUGGUGGCAACAGCGGGCAGGGAGAAAUCUUAGAGUUCGGGCUCUGGGGAUAGUACGCUCGCAAGAGUGA